GAUGAACGCUGGCGGCGUGCCUAACACAUGCAAGUCGAACGGACGGACGGGAAGUUUGCUUCUGUGACGUUAGCCGCGCGGGUGUGUGUAACACGUGGAUAACCCCCGUAUAAGACUGGGAUCACUUCGGAACCCGGUAGAUAAUACCGAAUAAUAUUUUGAACCGCAGGGUUCCAUAGUGAAAGACGGUCUUGCGGUCGCUUAUAGAUGGAUCCGCGCUGGAUUGGCUAGUUGGGGAGGUAAAGGCCUACCAAGGGGACGAUGGGUGGCCGGGCUGAGGGGGGGACCAGCCACACUGGGACUGAGACACGGCCCAGAGUCCUAAGGGAGGGAGCAGUGGGGAAUUUUGGGCAAUGGGGGAAAACCUUGUCCAGCAAUCGCGCGUGUGUGAAGAAGGCCUUGGGGUUGUAAAACACUUUUGUCCGGAAAAAAAUCCUUGGCCAUAAUACGGUCGGGGGAUGACGGUACCGGAAGAAUAAGCACCGGCUAACUACGUG
rnacentral:rRNA from 1 species